CAUCAGGCUCAGCCUGGCAGGCAGCACUCCUGACUCCCCACCCUUCCUCCAGGCCAGGUGUCUGCCAAUGAGAGCCUGGGUUCUGCUUUCCCGCCUUUCCUGGCAGCACAAACCACGCUCAGGAUGGUGAGCAAUGCAAGUUCCAGGCAUGCCUUUCUGCAUUGCUGGGUUCCCAGUUGUCACUUCAUCCACAGGUCUGAGUUCCGCAAGGAUCAGUGACCAAGAUGGGAUUCCACUUGCAAGAUAUCUACUGGAAAAAGCUCCUGUGAUUGAAUAAUGGGAGGAGCCUUCUCAGAGCUGCGGCAUAUUCACACAUAAGGCUGUAUGUGUGUAUAUGGAGCCCCUCUAGAGACAUCCCACCGCCCUGCCCUCCUGGAAAGAACGUUCAGCCUGUCCCACACCAGAACCCAUUCAAGGAGAGAGGAAUGCCGAGAUAGUGGCUCAUCUUCCUCCGUCCCAGAGAGGCCUCGGAGUAGUCCUCUCUGUUGCUUCACAGCCCUCCAACUAUGCGAAGAAUGCGAACCAUUUCCCAUGUGACUGGCAACCAUGAAGCAAUUCUGAGCCCAACCUCCCCAAAUAUCUGCUUUGCAAACAGAUAAAACAGAGAAGCAUCCUGAAAAUGUGCUGUUGGGUCAUUCACCUUAGGCGGUUGUGCUGUCUGCUUGCCUACCAGGGGGGUUUCUGCUUCCACAGUCCAGCCUGGAGCUGCUGGGGAGCCAGUUUGGGAUGUGGCCAUGUUCCUUAAGGGGGCAGAACACAGAAAACUCUCAGGAAGGGGCUUCUCAAGGAAAUGGGGACCAAGCGACGCUGCGGGCUCUUUGAAGGGAUCUGGGUCCCAUCCCAGUGCUGGACUCAUUGCUGGCCAGUCCUUGGGGUCACCUGGGAGCCCUUUGGCUCCUGAGAUGUCUGGGCAUGGGGCUGCCUUCACCAGCCACAAGAACCCAAACCCACCUCAACCAGCCUUUGGCAUCUCCAGUCUGCACCAGCUCUAAUUUUGUGUCCUGAGUGGGUGGAGGCAGUGGCAGGGGGAUUGCAUGCCAAGCCUGGCAGAGGUAAGGAAGAGGAAGAGGAAGAGGACUUAACUUUCUCAGUAGCUUCAGCCUUCCGAGAAACUCUAGAAUGCCUUGUUGCACUAUGGCAGGCAUAAUCAGGUCCCAGUGACCUACAUAACCUUCCAGACACCGGGCGAGCGGGAGCCCUGACUCAUGUCAGGGGAGCCUGACAGAGGAAGGGUGGGGGCAGGGAGGAUUUAUAAUCCUGAGACAGUGAAACCACCUAAAUAUUUAGUGAUGACUGAGUCACUGUAUGUCCACAGGGUGGAAUAUUAUGUCAAAGUGAUUAGUACAAAGACUAUUUAGCAAUAUUGCGAGUGUUUAUGAUAUAGUAUUAAGUAAACAAAAGAAAGAUAUAUGCCUUUAUGGCACCUGAACAAGAGAAGACUAGAAGGGGAUUUCAAAAAAUAACAGCUGU